AUGCCUUUCCCCCCAAAUACUACCGCUAGCAGUAGUACUUUUCCAAUCACAGGCACUCCUUUCCCGACAGCUACUACUAACUUUACAGGUGUUCCUAAUACCACUACGCCUUCCCCCCCAAAUACUACCGCUAGCAGUAGUACUCUUCCUAUCACAGGCACUCCUUUCCCGACAGCUACUACUAACUUUACAGGUGUUCCUAAUACCACUACGCCUUCCCCCCCAAAUACUACCGCUAGCAGUAGUACUCUUCCUAUCACAGGCACUCCUUUCCCCACAGCUACUACUAACUUUACAGCUAGUACUCCUGUUCCUAAUACCACUACGCCUUCCCCCCCAAAUACUACCACUAGCAGUAGUACUCUUCCUAUCACAGGCAUUCCUUUCCCAACAGCUACUACUAACUUUACAGGUGUUCCUAAUACCACUACGCCUUCCCCCCCAAAUACUACCGCUAGCAGUAGUACUCUUCCUAUCACAGGCACUCCUUUCCCCACAGCUACUACUAACUUUACAGCUAGUACUCCUGUUCCUAAUACCACUACGCCUUCCCCCCCAAAUACUACCGCUAGCAGUAGUACUCUUCCUAUCACAGGCACUCCUUUCCCGACAGCUACUACUAACUUUACAGGUGUUCCUAAUACCACUACGCCUUCCCCCCCAAAUACUACCGCUAGCAGUAGUACUCUUCCUAUCACAGGCACUCCUUUCCCGACAGCUACUACUAACUUUACAGGUGUUCCUAAUACCACUACGCCUUCCCCCCCAAAUACUACCGCUAGCAGUAGUACUCUUCCUAUCACAGGCACUCCUUUCCCCACAGCUACUACUAACUUUACAGGUGUUCCUAAUACCACUACGCCUUCCCCCCCAAAUACUACCGCUAGCAGUAGUACUCUUCCUAUCACAGGCACUCCUUUCCCCACAGCUACUACUAACUUUACAGGUGUUCCUAAUACCACUACGCCUUCCCCCCCAAAUACUACCGCUAGCAGUAGUACUCUUCCUAUCACAGGCACUCCUUUCCCGACAGCUACUACUAACUUUACAGGUGUUCCUAAUACCACUACGCCUUCCCCCCCAAAUACUACCGCUAGCAGUAGUACUCUUCCUAUCACAGGCACUCCUUUCCCGACAGCUACUACUAACUUUACAGGUGUUCCUAAUACCACUACGCCUUCCCCCCCAAAUACUACCGCUAGCAGUAGUACUCUUCCUAUCACAGGCACUCCUUUCCCGACAGCUACUACUAACUUUACAGGUGUUCCUAAUACCACUACGCCUUCCCCCCCAAAUACUACCGCUAGCAGUAGUACUCUUCCUAUCACAGGCACUCCUUUCCCCACAGCUACUACUAACUUUACAGCUAGUACUCGUGUUCCUAAUACCACUACGCCUUCCCCCCCAAAUACUACCGCUAGCAGUAGUACUCUUCCUAUCACAGGCACUCCUUUCCCCACAGCUACUACUAACUUUACAGCUAGUACUCCUGUUCCUAAUACCACUACGCCUUCCCCCCCAAAUACUACCGCUAGCAGUAGUACCCUUCCAAUCACAGGCACUCCUUUCCCGACAGCUACUACUAACUUUACAGGUGUCCCUAAUACCACUACGCCUUCCCCCCCAAAUACUACUGCUAGCAGUAGUACCCUUCCUAUCACAGGCACUCCUUUCCUGACAGGUACUACUGACUUUACAGCUAGUACUCCUGUUCCUAAUACCACUAUGCCUUCCCCCCCAAAUACUACCGCUAGCAGUAGUACUCUUCCAAUCACAGGCACUCCUUUCCUCACAGCUACUACUGACUUUACAGCUGUUCCUAAUACCACUACGCCUUCCCCCCCAAAUACUACCGCUAGCAGUAGUACUCUUCCUAUCACAGGCACUCCUUUCCCGACAGCUACUACUAACUUUACAGGUGUUCCUAAUACCACUACGCCUUCCCCCCCAAAUACUACCGCUAGCAGUAGUACUCUUCCUAUCACAGGCACUCCUUUCCCGACAGCUACUACUAACUUUACAGGUGUUCCUAAUACCACUACGCCUUCCCCCCCAAAUACUACCGCUAGCAGUAGUACUCUUCCUAUCACAGGCACUCCUUUCCCGACAGCUACUACUAACUUUACAGGUGUUCCUAAUACCACUACGCCUUCCCCCCCAAAUACUACCGCUAGCAGUAGUACUCUUCCUAUCACAGGCACUCCUUUCCCGACAGCUACUACUAACUUUACAGGUGUUCCUAAUACCACUACGCCUUCCCCCCCAAAUACUACUGCUAGCAGUAGUACCCUUCCUAUCACAGGCACUCCUUUCCUGACAGGUACUACUGACUUUACAGCUAGUACUCCUGUUCCUAAUACCACUAUGCCUUCCCCCCCAAAUACUACCGCUAGCAGUAGUACUCUUCCUAUCACAGGCACUCCUUUCCCGACAGCUACUACUAACUUUACAGGUGUUCCUAAUACCACUACGCCUUCCCCCCCAAAUACUACUGCUAGCAGUAGUACCCUUCCUAUCACAGGCACUCCUUUCCUGACAGGUACUACUGACUUUACAGCUAGUACUCCUGUUCCUAAUACCACUAUGCCUUCCCCCCCAAAUACUACCGCUAGCAGUAGUACUCUUCCAAUCACAGGCACUCCUUUCCUCACAGCUACUACUGACUUUACAGCUGUUCCUAAUACCACUACGCCUUCCCCCCCAAAUACUACCGCUAGCAGUACUACUCUUCCUAUCACAGGCACUCCUUUCCCGACAGGCACUACUGGCUUUACAGCUAGUACUCCGGUUCCUAAUACCACUACGCCUUCCCCCCCAAAUACUACCGCUAGCAGUAGUACCCUUCCAAUCAUAGGCAUUACUCUUCUGACAGGUACUACUGACUUUACAGCUAGUACUCCUGUUCCUAAUACCACUAUGCCUUCCCCCCCAAAUACUACCACUAGCAGUAGUACUCUUCCUAUCACAGGCACUCCUUUCCCGACAGGGUCUACUGAUUACAGCUAG
ensembl:lncRNA mucin-2-like